GUGGGUUGCACCAGAAGCMGGUAGUCUAACCGCAAGGAGGGCGCUUACCACGGUGGGAUUCAUGACUGGGGUGAAGUCGUAACAAGGUAGCCGUAGGUGAACCUGCAGAAGGAUCA
rnacentral:rRNA from 1 species